UUCCAAUUCGCUCGGCCCCUACCAUUGCUUCCCUGCUGCUGGUUUUGCUUGAUUUCGGGCGAUUUGGCGCUGGGUGGUAGGAGCAUGCCGCAGCUAAACCUGAAUUAGAAGACUCACAUGGGUGGAGAUGUCUCCAAGAGUAUAGGGACUCGGGUUGGCCAUUGAUUGCUAGUUUCAAUUUGGGUGCGUGUCAGUACCUCACCUCCGUUUCGAGGGUAGCUGGGGACUGUUCAUUCUGAACCCGACAAAACAAGCAGGAACGCCGCGGGCACGAGCAGCUGUUAACAAACCAUGGCGGUCAACAAUUCGAGGAACCACACCACUGAGGAAGUUGCUAGGAAAGUAUAUUCAACUUCAUUUGGUUUAGUUCUUGUUGAGAGUAUGUGCAUCUUCCAUGUGGUUGGAGUGGGCGCUGGUACAGUGUGUGCAUCUACUGUGAGAUAUCUACCUCUCAUGCUGCAUGAUGUUGACAGGAAACUCAACUCAUAUUAUACAUGCAUGUUACUGUGUCCCCCCUUCAAACUUUAACAUAUGUUUUUCAUCUCGGGAAUCUGUUGAAAUUUUGUUACAUCUAAAAAGAUGAAGAACCAUGUGCUGUUUUCCUGGUUUGAA